rnacentral:misc_RNA from 1 species
UACGGAGGGUCCAAGCGUUAUCCGGAAUCAUUGGGUUUAAAGGGUCCGUAGGCGGGUUAUUAAGUCAGUGGUGAAAGUCUGCAGCUCAACUGUAGAAUGGCCAUUGACACUGUUAACCUUGAGUAAUUAUGAAGUGGUUAGAAUAUGUAGUGUAGCGGUGAAAUGCAUAGAUAUUACCUGGAAUACCGAUUGCGAAGGCAGCUCACUAAUAAUUCACUGACGCUGAUGGACGAAAGCGUAGGUAGCGAACAGG